GACGAACGCUGACGGCGUGCUUAACACAUGCAAGUCGACCGGAAAGGCCCUGUUUUAGUUGGGUGUUCGAGUGGCAAACGGGUGAGUAACAUGAGAAUCACCUGUCCCUGAUUUUGGGAUCACUUCAGAAAACUGGGGCUAAUACCGGAUAGGAACUCCUGCUGAAUGGUGGGGGUUGGAAAUUUUAGGCGGUUGGGGAAGGGCUUGCGGCUUAUCAGCUUGUUGGUGGGGUACCGGCUUACCAAAGCGUUGACGGGUAGCCGGCCUGAGAAGGUGAACGGGCCAAAAGGGGCUUGGGUAAGGCCCAGUCCCCGACCGGAAGCCACAGUGGGGAAUUGUGCACCAUGGGCGGGAGCCUGAGGUAGCAACGCUGUGUGCGGGAGGACGGGUUUCUGGUUGUAAACCGCUGUCUCAUGUGACGAAGCGUGAGUGACGGUAAUGGGUGAAGAAGUACCGGCUAACUACGUG
rnacentral:rRNA from 1 species